CUAAUGUGGUUAUAUAAAGUAAUUCUUCCAGGAUCUGUCCUAGUAAAGGGGAGCACAGGGGACUUCCUUGGUGCCAACCUUGUUUACAGUGUUAGUGAAAAAGCUGGGCCUGGGGUCUUUGAGUGUGUGUAAGACUUCUCACAGUCUUGUGGACAAGUGAUUAAGGACACAACCCUUGCAGAAAACAGCC
rnacentral:snoRNA from 14 species